CAUAGACAGCAAUUAAGGAACUGGAGGCCAGCAGGAGGUCAGAGAGCCUUCCUCAGUGAAAACAGGGAUUGUUGGCCGUGCACAACACUCCCUUUUUUCCUUGUGGUGAAUAGGAGAUUUGCUUAGAGCUGAUGACUUAUGCCUUUCUUACAACUUAUGCAGUUAGCAAGCGACUGGGGAAUCGGGCAGCAGGCAGAGAGGCUAAUUGAAUCCAGUGUCUUAACUUUCUUCUUCUUCGGAUGUUGGGCUGUGACGGUGGAGGCUGCCUGAUCAUGUAACUGCAGAGAACAUGUUCGAGGAGCACCCGAUCCUGACUUUGAGAUUACAGACUUAAAGGAUCU
rnacentral:lncRNA from 1 species